GACGAACGCUGGCGGCGUGCUUAACACAUGCAAGUCGAACGAAGUGGCGCACGGGUGAGUAACGCGUAAUCAACCUGCCCUUCAGAGGGGGACAACAGUUGGCAACGACUGCUAAUACCGCAUACUGAAGGUGGGGAUUGCGUCGGUUUCGCUCGUUGGGGGGGUAACGGCCCACCUAGGCGAAGAUCAGUAGCCGGUCUGGGAAGAUGAACGGGCAACACGGGACUGAGACACGGCCCAGACUCCUACGGGAGGCAGCAGGUGGGAAUCUUCCGAAAUGGAGGAAAGGCUGGCGGAGCAACGCCGCGGGAGAGAUGACGGCCUUCGGGUUGUAAAGCUCUUUUCAUCGGGACGCGGUACCGGAAUAGAAAGCAACGGCUAACUACGUGCCAGCCGCCGCGGUAAUAC
rnacentral:rRNA from 1 species